GCGGUACUUCUUGUGACUUGAGAGCCGCGCUUCUUAAAGAAAGGCUGAAAGACCUCUCGUAGCCUGCGGCGUUCCUAACUGGUUUGUACUUCCUUGGUUUUGAGAGCUAAAAACUUAAGAUCCACCCUUGAUCUUCAAGACAGGGAAUUGAAAGGUAGAGAAAUGGAAAUGCACACGGAGUAACCUGGGGAAGGCUGAGUGGUUCGAAUGAUGGAUCUGUAGCCUGAUAUAUACUAAGUGAGCUUUUCAUCGUUGUCAUGAAGAACACUUUCAGAGGAUGAAAAGUUGCUUUGGCUCACCAUUUCCGAUAAAAAGUUCAUGUUUUUAGGACUGUGAUCAGGUGGAGAACCAUGAUGGGAGCACAUGGAGGAAGACCACGCUCACCUCACUGUCAGCUGAGAAACAACAAAUAAGGAGAACCAAUCUGGAGACGGGAUAUGCAACCCUAAGGAGUAGGCUCUAUCUCCUGAGAGCAUCUUGCACGGCAAUCAAGCUUUUAGCACUGACUUUUGGAAGAACGUUUUAGAUCCACACCAUUCCACAAAGCAGAACUGCUGAAUCACACAAACUUAACUUCUGAGGAAGCUCCCCACUCUCCAAGUGUGUAGAGGCCACGCACAGUUGAAGUAGGGAAGGGAGAGAGUGAAUCUCUGCCCUUCCUGUAUGUUAACAGUGCAAUGAGAGAAGCACGUGGUUUGAGAAUAAUUCAUGAGAGGAACAUGUGUUUCAAAGGAUCUCUGUAUUUUCCCAGAAAUAGUUAAUAUGUUAAUUUUCCACCAAUUUGAAAACUAGCCUUUUUGGGUUUUCGGUUUACGGUGCUACUGUCUACCAAACUAUAGAUUCUAAGAGAGCAUAACAACAGCUACUUAAAAGUAUCUGUGUCGU
rnacentral:lncRNA from 1 species